rnacentral:rRNA from 1 species
GGUUAAGCGAAUAAGCGUACACGGUGGAUGCCUAGGCAAUCAGAGGCGAUGAAGGACGUGCUAAUCUGCGAAAAGCGUCGGUAAGGUGAUAUGAACCGCUAUACCCGACGAUAUCCGAAUGGGGAAACCCAGUAUCCAAUGGAUACUAUCAUUAACUGAAUCCAUAGGUUAAUGAGGCGAACCGGGAGAACUGAAACAUCUCAGUACCCCGAGGAAAAGAAAUCAACCGAGAUUCCCCUAGUAGCGGCGAGCGAACGGGGAGCAGCCCAGAGUCUUAAUCAAUAGCAGUGUCAGGAGAACGGUCUGGAAAGUCCGGCAGUAAAGGGUGAUAGCCCCGUAUCUGAAGAUGCUGUUGUUGUGAACUCGACGAGUAGGGCGGGACACGUGUUAUCCUGUCUGAAUAUGGGGGGACCAUCCUCCAAGGCUAAAUACUCCUGAUUGACCGAUAGUGAACCAGUACCGUGAGGGAAAGGCGAAAAGAACCCCGGCGAGGGGAGUGAAAAAGAACCUGAAACCGUGUACGUACAAGCAGUAGGAGCCUCUUUAUGGGGUGACUGCGUACCUUUUGUAUAAUGGGUCAGCGACUUAUAUUCUGUAGCAAGGUUAACCGUAUAGGGGAGCCGUAGGGAAACCGAGUCUUAACUGGGCGAAUGAGUUGCAGGGUAUAGACCCGAAAC